UCACCCCAGUUACCAGCUCCACCUUCGGCAGCUCCCUCCUUUUGGGUUGGGCCACUGACUUCGGGCAUUUCCGGCUCCCAUGGUGUGACGGGCGGUGUGUACAGGACCCGGGAACGUAUUCACCGCGACAUUCUGAUUCGCGAUUACUAGCGAUUCCGGCUUCAUGUAGUCGGGUUGCAGACUACAAUCCGAACUGAGGCGGUAUUUUUGGGGUUCGCUCACCCUCACGGGGCUGCUUCCCUCUGUUUCCGCCAUUGUAGCACGUGUGUAGCCCCGGCCAUAAGGGGCAUGAUGAUUUGACGUCAUCCCCGCCUUCCUCCCGGUUAUCCCGGGCAGUCCCCUCAGAGUUCCCAGCUUUACCUGCUGGCUACUGAGGGCAGGGGUUGCGCUCGUUGCGGGACUUAACCCAACAUCUCACGACACGAGCUGACGACAACCAUGCACCACCUGUCUCCGAUGUACCGAAGUCCUGUACACAUUACUGUACAUUCAUCGGGAUGUCAAGGCCGG
rnacentral:rRNA from 1 species